rnacentral:lncRNA from 1 species
CCAGAACUACGGGAAGAAAUGUAGAGCAACGGAAAAGGGCUGGGCCAUACAGUAUGUACUCAAGAUUUAGUAGUUAAUUGACUGAUUGAACUUUAUAGAGAAGUACAGAUACAAUAUUACGGAAAUUCAGAGGAGAGAAAUUACUAACAACUUGAGCAGGUGGAAAAGCAUUGAAGCUUGGUAGAGAAGAUGGUGGAACUGUGCAGCAUUGAGACAUGUCCAGUUGGAGAGAUAUGAAGCUGGGUGAAAGUAGUACAAGAGGAGGCAACUGAAUGUACAACGGCAAAGAGAAAGAAGAAUCAGUGGAUGUGCAGAGGAAAGAGUGUGCAGGGA